ensembl:lncRNA
UGUGAAUGUAAUUUAUGACGAGGAUUAUAUUUCAGUUCAACACAAGAUCCGUGCUGAUCUUUAACUUCCUCCCACAUAAACACAGAUGACUGGUAGUCACAACUGAUUUAGUACAUGGGGUUUACAUUUUUAUUUCAUGGGUUUUAUGAAGAGAUAUUUAGGAGCCAUGCCUGUCAUCUGGUCCUAAUCAGCGCAGCUUGUGGUUUAAUACAGUUGGUUUGGCCAAGUCUUUCACUUUUUCACUGCAGUGUUUCACAUUAGUUACAGUAUGGGAAAGUGGGCAUUAAGAAAUGUGUGACAGAGAGAACGAGACAGUGGAGACAUGUGGUUUGAAACGUUUUUUUGUGCACGUGUGCAUGCAUGCCAAUAAGAAAAAAAUGUGUGAGAGGAAUGAGUGGAAAUCACUGGUACAGACACAAGGGGUGCUAAAAUCAAUUUAAUUCAUUCUGUUUUUUUAAUAGCUCUGCAGACCUCAGUGACCCAUCUCACUGAAUUUCAAGAGAAAGUUCAAGUUGCAAGACGCUUGACUCCUGUGAUUAGGUAGGAAGCAAGAUUACACAGGUAUGACUGUGAAAAUUGAAGCUUGGGAUGACUUUCUCCUUACUAAAUCUUUUUGGAAUAUAAUAUUAAAGUUUAAUUCACUUCAGAAAUGUGUUCAAUUUAGUGAUGGACUGGAAAUCAAUAUCAUUUUUUUUUUUUUUUUUUUUACAUGGAAAUGAUUUUCAGUUCUGUUCUUCUACUUUUAAUACUGCAUUAAAAAGAAAUCAUUAUGCAGGGUUAGACACAAACAUAUUGCUGAUGGCUAAUCUGAAAAAAAGGCAAACACACAAACAAAACAUCUGGCUCAAACUGGUAUUAAAAAGGUCAAUGAAAAAGCAUAAAUUUGUUGAUGCCUGCGCAAACAAGUUAAUCUUCCUUGUUUCAAUAUAAAUCCUGUAACGUAAUCUUCCAAAAUACUGUAAAGCUUUAAAUCACUCUUUUACAUUCUGCUUAUUUGUUUUUACAGAAUUACGCAUUUAUUUAACAGUUUAAUCUAAAAAACAAACAAAUAAACAAGAAAAAAACACGGAUAGAUUUAUUUGUAGGAUAUACACGUUAAAUUGCAGUUUUGCACCUUUAUUUAUAUUAAUUUUUCAAUUGCAUUGACUUUCUCUUCUAUUCUGGUAAACAUAGCAGCUUUAGCACAACAGGUUUGCAAUCAGAUAAGUAAAAUAUACAUUUAUUUGGGUAAAAUGUUGCCGUGUCUGUGUAUGUGUGUUCCCAGGUCAGUCAGUUCACAGCUUAGGCCAAAUAGAACCAGUGAUCCAAGUUAAUGCUGUGAAAAUGACUGCUGGGAUCACAGCUAAUCCCAGGGGUUAGGCACCAUACAAGACAGCUGAUUGAAGGGAUGUGAGAAAGUUUAGCUUCAAUUUUUCUAAAUGGUGUAAUAGUUUUUCAGACAAUCACAAUACACAGUUCAAACCAGUUAAAUCUGGUGUAUUCUCUCCCUUCAUCCUUUUUAUUCAUAUUACACUGUAUGCAAUCUCGUUACAAAACAUUUAUGG